CCUACGGGUGGCAGCAGUGGGGAAUAUUGCACAAUGGGCGCGAGCCUGAUGCAGCCAUGCCGCGUGUGUGAAGAAGGCCUUCGGGUUGUAAAGCACUUUCAGCGGGGAGGAAGGCGGUGAGGUUAAUAACCUCAUCGAUUGACGUUACCCGCAGAAGAAGCACCGGCUAACUCCGUGCCAGCAGCCGCGGUAAUACGGAGGGUGCAAGCGUUAAUCGGAAUUACUGGGCGUAAAGCGCACGCAGGCGGUCUGUCAAGUCGGAUGUGAAAUCCCCGGGCUCAACCUGGGAACUGCAUUCGAAACUGGCAGGCUAGAGUCUGGUAGAGGGGGGUAGAAUUCCAGGUGUAGCGGUGAAAUGCGUAGAGAUCUGGAGGAAUACCGGUGGCGAAGGCGGCCCCCUGGACAAAGACUGACGCUCAGGUGCGAAAGCGUGGGGAGCAAACAGGAUUAGAUACCCGGGUAGUC
rnacentral:rRNA from 1 species